rnacentral:rRNA from 1 species
ACGGCGCGAUCCUGGUUGUCAGGUGGUCAGGUAGAGAAUACCAAGGCGCUUGAGAGAACUCGGGUGAAGGAACUAGGCAAAAUGGUGCCGUAACUUCGGGAGAAGGCACGCUGGUGUGUAGGUGAAGCCCCUGCGGGUGGAGCUGAGACCAGUCGAAGAUACCAGCUGGCUGCAACUGUUUAUUAAAAACACAGCACUGUGCAAACACGAAAGUGGACGUAUACGGUGUGACGCCUGCCCGGUGCCGGAAGGUUAAUUGAUGGGGUUAUCCGUAAGGAGAAGCUCUUGAUCGAAGCCCCGGUAAACGGCGGCCGUAACUAUAACGGUCCUAAGGUAGCGAAAUUCCUUGUCGGGUAAGUUCCGACCUGCACGAAUGGCGUAAUGAUGGCCAGGCUGUCUCCACCCGAGACUCAGUGAAAUUGAACUCGCUGUGAAGAUGCAGUGUACCCGCGGCAAGACGGAAAGACCCCGUGAACCUUUACUAUAGCUUGACACUGAACAUUGAGCCUUGAUGUGUAGGAUAGGUGGGAGGCUUUGAAGCGUGGACGCCAGUCUGCGUGGAGCCAACCUUGAAAUACCACCCUUUAAUGUUUGAUGUUCUAACGUUGGCCCCUGACCGGGGUUGCGGACAGUGUCUGGUGGGUAGUUUGACUGGGGCGGUCUCCUCCCAAAGCGUAACGGAGGAGCACGAAGGUUAGCUAAUCCUGGUCGGACAUCAGGAGGUUAGUGCAAUGGCAUAAGCUAGCUUGACUGCGAGCGUGACGGCGCGAGCAGGUGCGAAAGCAGGUCAUAGUGAUCCGGUGGUUCUGAAUGGAAGGGCCAUCGCUCAACGGAUAAAAGGUACUCCGGGGAUAACAGGCUGAUACCGCCCAAGAGUUCAUAUCGACGGCGGUGUUUGGCACCUCGAUGUCGGCUCAUCACAUCCUGGGGCUGAAGUAGGUCCCAAGGGUAUGGCUGUUCGCCAUUUAAAGUGGUACGCGAGCUGGGUUUAGAACGUCGUGAGACAGUUCGGUCCCUAUCUGCCGUGGGCGCUGGAGAAUUGAGGGGGGCUGCUCCUAGUACGAGAGGACCGGAGUGGACGCAUCACUGGUGUUCGGGUUGUCAUGCCAAUGGCACUGCCCGGUAGCUAAAUGCGGAAGAGAUAAGUGCUGAAAGCAUCUAAGCACGAAACUUGCCCCGAGAUGAGUUCUCCCUGAGACUAUAAGUCUCCUGAAGGAACGUUAAAGACGAUGACGUUGAUAGGCCGGGUGUGUAAGCGCAGCGAUGCGUUGAGCUAACCGGUACUAAUGAACCGUGAGGCUUAACCUU